UUACGUUCAUAUCAAGUUGAAAAACCGGUUCCCGUACGAUCAUUGGAGUCAAGCAACAUCGAGUUUGGUCAGUACAUAUAUGGGUGACCGCUCGGGAAUACCAGGUGCUAUA